rnacentral:tRNA from 1 species
GCAGCUGGGGCCUACUGGUUAGCGCUUCGGACUUGUAACCGGAGGGUUGCCGGUUCGAACCCCGACCAGUAGGA